UUAAUGGUGGUAGGGAUCCGAAAGGUGACCGACCUUCGGGGAGUCCAUUUACAGGUGUUGCAUGGCUGUCGUCAGCUCGUGUCGUGAGAUGUUCGGUUAAGUCCGCUAACGAGCGCAACCCUCGCUGUGUGUUAUAUGUGUCACACAGGACUGCUGGUAUUAAGCCGGAGGAAGGUGGGGACGACGUCAAGUCAGCAUGACCUUUAUAUCCAGGGCUACACACACGCUACAAUGGUCAGUACAAUGGGUUGCCAAGCCGCGAGGCGGAGCCAAUCCCACAAAGCCGAUCGUAGUCCGGAUUGUUCUCUGCAACUCGAGAGCAUGAAGUCGGAAUCGCUAGUAAUCGCAGGUCAGCAUACUGCGGUGAAUACGUUCCCGGGUCUU
rnacentral:rRNA from 1 species